rnacentral:rRNA from 1 species
UACGUAGGGGGCAAGCGUUGUCCGGAUUUAUUGGGCGUAAAGAGCGUGUAGGCGGCCAUACAGGUCAGCUGUGAAAGCCCGGGGCUCAACUCCGGAAUUGCCUUUAAGACUGCAUCGCUAGAAUUGUGGAGAGGUAAGUGGAAUUCCGAGUGUAGAGGUGAAAUUCGUAGAUAUUCGGAAGAACACCAGUGGCGAAGGCGACUUACUGGACACAUAUUGACGCUGAGGUGCGAAAGCGUGGGGAGCAAACAGG